rnacentral:rRNA from 1 species
CCCUUAGAUGUUCUGGGCAGCACGCGCGCUACAAUGGUCUUCGCAAACGGAUGCAUUCUCGAAGGAGAAUGCCAAUCUUGGAAUCUAUGCCUUGGUCGGGACAGUUGCUUGCAAUUUUUCGACUCGAACCAGGAAUUCCUUGUAAUCGUGAUUCAUCACAUCACGAUGAAUACGUCCCUGCCCUUUGUACACACCGCCCGUCGCUCCUACCGAUCGAAGAGUUAGGUGAAUUGUUUUGAUCGAUAAGAUUUGACUAUGGUCAACUCUCGUUGUGAAAUUCUGUGAAUCUGACUGUUUAGAGGAAGGAGAAGUCGUAACA